AGGACUAACGCUGGCGGCGUGCCUAACACAUGCAAGUCGAACGAGAGUAGCAAUACUCUAGUGGCAGACGGGUGAGUAACACGUGGUCAACCUACCUCUAUGUGGGGGAUAACUAGCCGAAAGGUUAGCUAAUACCGCAUACGAUCGUCGAGCGGCAUCGCUUGACGAUGAAAGGAGCAAUCCGCAGAGAGACGGGACCGCGUCCCAUUAGCUAGUUGGUGGGGUAAUGGCCUACCAAGGCGACGAUGGGUAGCUGGCUUGAGAGAGCGACCAGCCACACUGGGACUGAGACACGGCCCAGACUCCUACGGGAGGCAGCAGUGAGGAAUUUUCCGCAAUGGGCGAAAGCCUGACGGAGCGACGCCGCGUGUGGGAAGAAGGCCUUCGGGUCGUAACCACUGUCGAAGGGGAAGAUAUUGACGGUACCCUUGGAGGAAGCCCGGCUAACUACGCGCCAGCAGCCGC
rnacentral:rRNA from 1 species